UAUCUGUUUUAAAGUGUUAUUGAUUUGUACAUUUAUACUUUUAGAAUGUUCUGAUUAAUAUCAUUUUGUUUUGUUUUUAGACACUUUGAAUAGCUGAACAAUAUAAAUCACCAUGCUAAAUGUAUGCACAUAAACCUUUUGCUCUAACUACAAAAUAUUAAGUUCUUUAAUGCUAGUACACUUUAAAUGAAAAUUUAAAGUAGCUUUGAUGUUUUCAUACUUUUUCAAUACCAAAAUCUAGAAUCAAGUUCCUGCUGAAUUGUACUUGCAUAUGAACAUAUAACACAUUGAAUAUUUAACAUAAAUUUAUGUGGUUUAGAUUACAUUGGUUUCCAAACUGUUUUGUUACUGUUUGAUGUGUCAAAAGAGGUAUUGGGGAAGGUUUAAAGGACAAAACAUAGUAAAACACAAACAUAUUUCAAUCAGAAAAUGAUUUAUAUAAUAAUGAUCCUAAAAUUUUUUGAACAAACAAAGUAGAAAUACAAUAUGAGAGCAGUACUAGAUUUUAUUGAAUUGUAUUAAAAUACUUGCUUUAAAUUAAGCAUUAGCUCCAAAUCUUUGUCUGGCUACUCAGAUGACUCAUGAGUUGGGAACCCGUGCUUUAGAAUAUCGUACUAGAAUCAGAAAUGUUUAUCUUCUGUAAAGAUUUGAUACAUUACUAUAUAAAACUAUAGAAAUAAUCUAAACUCCCACUUGUAGGAAGCCCUUCAGGACAUGUGAUGGUGACCGCCUGUGUGUUAUUUCAGAUUAUCAAAGCUCUGACAGAAAGACAAGGAAUCCUUGUAAAAGUGGGAGGUUGGAGUAUGUAUGCUGUAGUUGUAGUGUUUGUUGGAACUGCUCGAGUAUUUAUUGCUGCUCACUUUCCACAUCAGUGCUUACUUGGCUUUAUAGUUGGUAAGUAACCAUACACACUCUUCUGAGUAUUCAAUAUGAUAAUAAUAACAUUUCAGAAUCCUUGUAAAAGUGGGAGGUUGGAGUAUGUAUGCUGUAGUUGUAGUGCUUGUUGGAACUGCUCGAGUGUUUAUUGCUGCUCACUUUCCACAUCAGUGCUUACUUGGCUUUAUAGUUGAUAAGUCAAGAUUCAGCCUAUAAUGUGACUUA